UGAUGAUGGUGAAGGAAAUUUCAAAUCAUACCCUUAAAUCUCUCCUAAGUUUGGUAAAGAUUCUCUUCUUCUUUCUGUCUAAAACUCAAGAUCUUGCUUCUCAAACA
rfam:Capsicum annuum cultivar Zunla-1 chromosome 7, whole genome shotgun sequence